rnacentral:rRNA from 1 species
GAUGAACGCCAGCGACAGGCUUAACACAUGCAAGUCGAGGGGCAGCAUAAAAGUAGCAAUACUUUGGUGGCGACCGGCGCACGGGUGAGUAACGCGUAUGCAACCUACCUAUCAGAGGGGAAUAACCCGGCGAAAGUCGGACUAAUACCGCAUAAAACAGGGGCACCGCAUGGUGAUAUUUGUUAAAGAAAUUCGCUGAUAGAUGGGCAUGCGUUCCAUUAGGUAGUUGGUGAGGUAACGGCUCACCAAGCCGACGAUGGAUAGGGGAACUGGGAGGUUGGUCCCCCACACUGGUACUGAGCCACGGACCAGACUCCUACGGGAGGCAGCAGUGAGGAAUAUUGGUCAAUGGGCGAGAGCCUGAACCAGCCAAGUCGCGUGAAGGAAGAAGGAUCUAUGGUUCGUAAACUUCUUUUGCAGGGGAAUAAAGUGCGGGACGUGUCCUGUUUUGUAUGUACCCUGAGAAUAAGGAUCGGCUAACUCCGUGCCAGCAGCCGCAGUAA